rnacentral:rRNA from 1 species
AGCGAACGCUGGCGGCAGGCUUAACACAUGCAAGUCGAACGGGCACUUCGGUGCUAGUGGCAGACGGGUGAGUAACGCGUGGGAACGUGCCUUUCGGUUCGGAAUAAUCCAGGGAAACUUGGACUAAUACCGGAUACGCCCUUCGGGGGAAAGAUUUAUCGCCGAAAGAUCGGCCCGCGUCUGAUUAGCUAGUUGGUGAGGUAAAGGCUCACCAAGGCGACGAUCAGUAGCUGGUCUGAGAGGAUGAUCAGCCACAUUGGGACUGAGACACGGCCCAAACUCCUACGGGAGGCAGCAGUGGGGAAUAUUGGACAAUGGGCGCAAGCCUAAUCCAGCCAUGCCGCGUGAGUGAUGAAGGCCUUAGGGUUGUAAAGCUCUUUUGUCCGGGAAGAUAAUGACUGUACCGGAAGAAUAGGCCCCGGCUAACUUCGUGCCAGCAGCCGCCGUAACAC